rnacentral:rRNA from 1 species
UACGUAGGGCGCAAGCGUUGUCCGGAAUUAUUGGGCGUAAAGAGCUCGUAGGCGGUUUGUCGCGUCUGCUGUGAAAACCUAAGGCUCAACCUUGGGCUUGCAGUGGGUACGGGCAGGCUAGAGUGUGGUAGGGGAGACUGGAAUUCCUGGUGUAGCGGUGAAAUGCGCAGAUAUCAGGAGGAACACCGAUGGCGAAGGCAGGUCUCUGGGCCACUACUGACGCUGAGAAGCGAAAGCAUGGGGAGCGAACAGG